rnacentral:rRNA from 1 species
GACGAACGCUGGCGGCGUGCUUAACACAUGCAAGUCGAACGGAAAGGCCCUGCUUGCAGGGUACUCGAGUGGCGAACGGGUGAGUAACACGUGGGUGAUCUGCCCUGCACUUCGGGAUAAGCCUGGGAAACUGGGUCUAAUACCGGAUAGGAGCCAUUUUUAGUGUGAUGGUUGGAAAGUUUUUUCGGUGUAGGAUGAGCUCGCGGCCUAUCAGCUUGUUGGUGGGGUAAUGGCCUACCAAGGCGGCGACGGGUAGCCGGCCUGAGAGGGUGGACGGCCACAUUGGGACUGAGAUACGGCCCAGACUCCUACGGGAGGCAGCAGUGGGGAAUAUUGCACAAUGGGCGCAAGCCUGAUGCAGCGACGCCGCGUGGGGGAUGACGGCCUUCGGGUUGUAAACGCCGUUCGCUAGGGACGAAGCUUUUUGUGACGGUACCUAGAUAAGAAGCACCGGCUAACUACGUG